rnacentral:rRNA from 1 species
UAAUACGGAGGGUGCAAGCGUUAUCCGGAUUCACUGGGUUUAAAGGGUGCGUAGGCGGGCUUGUAAGUCAGUGGUGAAAGCCCGGAGCUUAACUCCGGAACUGCCAUUGAUACUGCAAGUCUUGAGUACACUUGAGGUGGGCGGAAUACAUCAUGUAGUGGUGAAAUACUUAGAUAUGAUGUAGAACACCGAUUGCGAAGGCAGCUCACUAAAUUGUAACUGACGCUGAGGCACGAAAGCGUGGGGAUCAAACAGGAUUAGAUACCCUGGUAGUCCACGCCUUAAACGAUGAUCACUCGACAUUAGCGAUAUACUGUUAGUGUCUAAGCAAAAGCGUUAAGUGAUCCACCUGGGGAGUACGAUCGCAAGAUUG